AGGGUUUGAUCCUGGCUCAGGACGAACGCUGGCGGCGUGGAUAAGGCAUGCAAGUCGAACGCGAACGGAACAACUAAUUCGUUAGUAGUUCCUAUUAGAGUGGCGAACGGGUGAGUAACACGUGGAUUACAUACCUUUCAGUGGGGAAUAACAUCGGGAAACUGAUGCUAAUACCGCAGAUGUCAUUUCAUUGAUUUUGAUCUGACUAAAGGGGGGGCUCCUUUGGGACCUCUCGCUGAUUGAUUGGUCCGCGGCCGAUUAGCUGGUUGGUGGGGUAAUGGCCUACCAAGGCAACGAUGGGUAGCCGGCCUGAGAGGGUGUCCGGCCACACUGGGAUUGAGAUACGGCCCAGACUCCUUCGAGAGGCAGCAGUCGAGAAUCUUCCACAAUGUACGAAAGUAUGAUGGAGCGACGCCGCGUGUGUGAUGAAGGCUUUAUGAGUUGUAAAGCACUGUCAGAGGGGAAGAAACGUCGUACUAAUAAUAAGAGUACGAUCUGACGUACCCUCAGAGGAAGCUCCGGCUAACUCCGUGCCAGCAGCCGCGGUAAUACGGAGGGAGCAAGCGUUGUCCGGAAUCAUUGGGCUUAAAGCGUGCGUAGGCGGGCGUGUAAGCAUCUUGUGAAAUCCCUCGGCUCAACCGAGGAACUGCUUGGUGAACUGCACGUCUUGAGACAAGUAGGGGCUGUCGGAACGAUAGGUGGAGCGGUGAAAUGCGUUGAUAUCUAUCGGAACGCCAAAGGCGAAGGCAGGCAGCUGGGCUUGUUCUGACGCUCAGGCACGAAAGCGUGGGGAGCGAACGGGAUUAGAUACCCCGGUAGUCCUAGCCGUAAACGAUGGGUACUAGGCGUUGGAAGGGUUAAACCUUUCAGUGCCGCAGCUAACGCAUUAAGUACCCCGCCUGGGGAGUACGGUCGCAAGACUGAAACUCAAAGGAAUUGACGGGGACCCGCACAAAUGGUGGAGCAUGUGGUUUAAUACGACGAUACGCGUGGAACCUCACCCAGACUUGACAUGUACCGGACGAUUUGUAGAGAUACAUUUCUUCCUUUACGGGACUGGUACACAGGUGUUGCAUGGCUGUCGUCAGCUCGUGCCGUGAGGUGUUGGGUUAAGUCCCGUAACGAGCGAAACCCUUGUCUUUAGUUGCCAGCGAGUAAUGUCGGGGACUCUAGAGAGACUGCCGGUGUCAAACCGGAGGAAGGUGGGGAUGACGUCAAGUCCUCAUGGCCUUUAUGCCCAGGGCUGCAAACGUGCUACAAUGGCGUGUACAAACCGACGCGAGACCGUGAGGUGGAGCAAAUCGGAAAAAGCACGCCCCAGUUCGGAUUGAAGUCUGCAACUCGACUUCAUGAAGUUGGAAUCGCUAGUAAUCGCGUAUCAGCGUGACGCGGUGAAUGUGUUCCUGAGCCUUGUACACACCGCCCGUCAAGUCAUGGAAGCCGGGAGCACCCGAAGUCGUGGUAUUUCAGCCAUGCCUAAGGUGAGUUCGGUAACUAGGACUAAGUCGUAACAAGGUAGCCGAA
rnacentral:rRNA from 1 species